UACGUAGGCAGCAAGCGUUGUUCGGAAUUACUGGGCGUAAAGAGUGUGUAGGCGGUGUUCUAAGUUUGUCGUGAAAUCUCCCGGCUUAACUGGGAGGGUGCGGCGAAAACUGGAAUGCUAGAGGAUGGGAGAGGUAAGCGGAAUUCCUGGUGUAGCGGUGAAAUGCGUAGAUAUCAAGUGGAACACCAGUGGCGAAGGCGAGUCUCUGGACAUUUCCUGACGCUGAGGCACGAAAGCCAGGGGAGCAAACGGG
rnacentral:rRNA from 1 species